rnacentral:rRNA from 1 species
AGAACUACGAGCAACCCGCUCCAAACUCCAAGGACUUGACGGUGUCCUGACACCCUAGAGGAGCCUGUCCUUUAAUCGAUACCCCACGUUUUACCUCACCCCCCCCUUGCCACCCCAGCCUAUAUACCGCCGUCGAAAGUCCACCCCAUGAGUGCACCCCCGUGGACAUAACAGUCUUACCCCCUAACACGUCAGGUCAAGGUGUAGCUAAUGGGCGGGGAAGUGAUGGGCUACACUCUCUGAUCCAGAGCCCCACAAGGGAUAUGAAAUACACCCCCAAAGUAGGAUUUAACAGUAAAAUUAAUAAGUGAUACUAAUUUGAAGUCGUGCCCCAGGACGCGUACACACCGCCCGU